CCUGCUGAUAGGUGGCGCAGGUUGGGCUGGUGCAUCAGGUCUGAAACUGGUGGCACUGAAGCUCUGCCAUUUCUAGGAUGCUGGUUGUGUCUGGUGGGGGAAAUUUAGGGAGCAACUUUUGACAGGAAAGCAUAACAGGCUACAGAAAAAUACAAGAGGAGACUCAAAGAGAGGCACAAAGCACAAGCCUAAACAGCAGAGGUGGAGUGCCAUCUGGAGUACCAGACGUUUUGUGGGUAUGUCACAGCCAUCUAGCCUCCGUUGUGCUGCUGAUCCACCCCAGUGGCAAACCCAGCUAAGUGAAUCUAGCCUCCUCAUCCACAGCCAGCAGUAGUGCAGGAAUCUGGUCUGACUGCACCAAGCAUGCACAGACCAGCACAGGAAUCCUCUACACGCUCUUUGCCGCUCGGGAAUGUGUGCAACGUCACCAACCGCCUGAUAUCACAUGGACGGCUGCCCACCUGUUGUAACACACAUCCUUCUUAUUCACUUGUACUGAACAAGGAUUCAACCAUAAAACUUAAAAUAGAUCCUUCCUCCACCAGUGAAAGUAUAAUGUUUAGACCAAAUUGGUUUUAGUUGUGUAUGCACCCAUACCAUUAGGCCUUUUCACAUUGUCACAUUUUGACUUGUCAAAGCAGCAUAUGGGGGCUCUGCUCUUUUCAAGUAUCCAAGUAAGUCAAGACACUAUGUCAGUGAGCCAUCAUGCACAAUACCAGGACCCUGACACAGAAUUUAGCCAUCUUAUUGUUUAAUGUGUGUUUUUGCAAGUGUUACAUGUCAAAAUGUCUUCCAUGAAAAAAGGCAUGUUAAACAGGGAUACACAUGUCUAUAUCAGCAAUCAAAUAAUAUAUUACCUAAAUAACUACCGAACGACUAUAUAUUUAAAAAAAACUAUGAGCACACUUGUGAUAAUGUAUCCUCUAAACACUGGUACUUUUUGAUCACUUUUGUCUUCUUCGCAGAAUUUGAUUCUUUAUUUGUAUAAGCUGUUAUAUGACACCAUUUUAAUCAUCCAUGAAUCACAGGGUUCAUGGUUUAAAAACAAUAUUAUAUUAGAAAACUGCAGUCAACUACAGGUACAACAACUACAGAUAAAGAUAUUUCACCUAAUUUUAUCAGUUUUUCUUAGGCCCAUUUUGGUGCAGAGAAAAGUUUGUUUUACUUGUUUUUUUAACUGGUGAAUGGCCAGUUAGCAUGAAAC